AAAACAGGAAAGAAAGAAAGAAAGAAAAACACUUUGCUUCUGUUCAUUCUUCCUCAAGCUUUUUUUUUUUUUUUUCAUUACAAAAAAGGUAAUUCAGAGAACUAACAAUGCCAAAAACAAAUGCAGCAGAGAGGUGACAAAGGGGAAGAAAUUUUAAUGAUCUUCAGUCCGAUAUUAGAUACCCACCCCCCUCCCCGGAACUUCUAUCCCGGUGACACCCCGAAAUUUGCAGUUUCAACCGUCAUAGCAUGAAGCCUUGCAGUGGCACGCACAGUUUAUGUGCCACCGAACAGAUGCUGCAGAAUAAGGAUGAAACAGUUGCUGGUUCGUCUUAGAUAAUCACGCAGAUUAAGCAGUGGUUUCAUUACAGUGUUUUUACUAUGCAUUAUUUUUACUAGGCAGCGUCCUUUGAAAUAAUGGGAAUUGAUUUCACAGAUCUUUUGCAUAUUACUGAUACUCAGUAAUGUUGCCGAGUAAAACCUUUUCCAUCCUGCCACUGUGAAAAGGCACUAAUUGGGGAAGAAGAAGGUUCCCCCAUGGAAGGCUCUCUUCCGCAGAUUUGAGGCUGGGAAGCAAUUGAGCCAGGGAAACUAUAUGGAGGCCUUUGUGGUUUAGCAGCUGUAGCUUUGUGUCCUGAUUUAGCUGACCUAAAAUUCACACGCUCCCAGAUCACAGAGCAUCGGCCGGCACUGCCCUUGGCUUCCCCUUCUUGGCCCUCACAUCCCCCCUCCCAGCACGUUUCUCCUGCUAGAUAAAACGGCUGGAAAUGUGCCGCCAAUGAAUGGGGAGUCCAGGGAACCAAUGCAGAGACAAAGAUCAUCGGUGUCUUCUGCAAUCAGGUGCAAACCUUAAAAUGCAUUGAGUAUUUUUACCUUGACUUGACUCACUUGGUGUGCACUGUUCACGUCUACCGGGCCACUUGGCUCAUUUUCCUGAGCAGCCUACCUGCAAACAUGUUCUCAGCAGACAUUCUCUCUCUCCUCUCCAAAGACGCCUGCCAUCACUGAUUAACUUGGCAGUAACCUCUUUAUUCCUCCAAGAAAUGUUUAGAGGGAGCAUUUCUGCUUUUCCUCCAGCCCUCCUCUCUGUGUUGACGACUCAUCUCUGCGUCGACGGAAAUUUCCUCUUGUUGGAGGCCUGAGAAACCAUGAGAAGUUGGUGG
rnacentral:lncRNA from 12 species